rnacentral:rRNA from 1 species
UACGGAGGGUGCGAGCGUUGUCCGGAAUCACUGGGCGUAAAGGGCGCGUAGGCGGCGCGAGUAGUCAACGGUGAAAGCCCGGGGCUCAACCCCGGGUCGGCCGUCGAUACUCUCGUGCUUGAGCACUGUAGAGGCAGGUGGAAGUCCGGGUGUAGCGGUGGAAUGCGUAGAGAUCCGGAAGAACACCGGUGGCGAAGGCGGCCUGCUGGGCAGUAGCUGACGCUGAGGCGCGACAGCGUGGGGAGCAAACAGG